rnacentral:rRNA from 1 species
AAGGCUGCGAAUGACACAUGGGAUCACAUCAACUAGACAAUCGAAUGUUGAGCUUAGGGUUCGCCCGAAGCGUAUUGGUGGGGUCCUGUGUCGAGAAAAGUUCGCAGUUGUUCCCCGGACAACCCGUACCGUAAACCGACACAGGUGGGUGAGUGUAAGCGCACUCAGGCGCGCGAGAGAAACCUCUCUAAGGAACUCGGCACAUUAGCCUCGUAACUUCGGGAGAAGAGGUGCCCACUUCGGUGGGCCUCAGUAAAUUGCGUUUAGCGACUGUUUAACAAAAACACAGCACUCUGCCAAGUCGUGAAGACGACGUAUAGGGUGUGACACGUGACCAAUGCGGAAAGAUUAAACCAUCUUGUUAGCCGCAAGGCGAAGCUCGGUGGCCAAGUCCCCGUGAAUGUCGGCCGUAACUAUAACGGUCCUAAGGUAGCGAAAUUCCUUGUCGGGUAAGUUCCGACCUGCACGAAUCGUGUAACGACUGAACGACUGUCUCGGAGAGGAUCUCGGCGAAACUGUAACGGCGGUGAAGAUGCCGCCUGCCCGCAGUAGGACGGAAAGACCCUAUGCACCUUUACUGUAAGCUCGUAUUGUGUUCUGAUUAAUUUUGCGUAGCGUAGGUGGGAGACUUUGAAGCGAGUCCUUCGGGGCUCGUGGAGUCGCAAUGUGAAACACCACUCUUAGUUAAUUAGGAUUCUAACCCCGAUUUCUGUGAAGCCAGACGGGGGACAGUGCGUGCGGGUCAGUUUGACUGGGGCGGUUUCCUCCCAAAGAGUAACGGAGGAGCGCGAUGCUUGGUUCAGCACGUUUGGCAAUCGUGCGUUGAGGGUAUGGCUAGAAACCAGGUUAACUGUGAGACGUACAUGUCGAGCAGAUGCGAAAGCAGCCCCAAAUGAUCCGACGGUAUGAAUGUGGAAUUGCCGUCGCUCAUCGACAAAAGGUACGCUAGGGAUAACAGGCUGAUCGGAUCCAAGAGUUCACAUCGACGAUCCGGUUUGGCACCUCGAUGUCGGCUCAUCGCAUCCUGGGGCUGGAGAAGGUCCCAAGGGUCCGGCUGUUCGCCGGUUAAAGCGGUACGCGAGCUGGGUUCAGAACGUCGUGAGACAGUUCGGUCCUUAUCCACUGUGGGCGAAGGAAACUUGAGGGGUUCUAACCUUAGUACGAGAGGACCGGGUUAGACGCACUUCUGGUGUGGCAGUUGUUCCAUCCGGGGCAUCGCUGCGUAGCCAUGUGCGGAAGAGAUAAGCGCUGAAAGCAUCUAAGUGCCAAGCUCCUCCCAAGAUAUUGUUUCCCGGGGCGCAAGCCCCCUAAAGACCACGGGCAGACUACCCGUUUGAUAGGCUAGAAAUGUAAGCGCCGCAAGGUGUUCAGUUGACUAGUACUAGUCGGU